GAAAUGCGAUGAGUAGUGUGAAUUGCAGAAUUCAGUGAAUCAUCGAAUCUUUGAACGCACAUUGCGCCCUCUGGCAUUCCGGGGGGCAUGCCUGUCCGAGCGUCAUUACGCACCCUCAAGCCCGGCUUGUGUGAUGGGCCCUGGCGUCUCGUUCGCGAGACGGGCCCGAAAGGCAGCGGCGGCGUCGACCCGAUGAGCCCGAGCGUAUGGGGACUUUUGUCACACGUUUGCGGUGCGGACCGGCGCCUGCUUGACUUUUCUGAUUAUCCAGGUUGACCUCGGAUCAGGUAGGGAUACCCGCUGAACUUAAGC
rnacentral:misc_RNA from 1 species